UCGUUUUCUUUGGAUCCCCAACUGAAGAAUUUGAAGGAGUUUCUGCAGAGCACCUAGAUGUCAAUGAAUGUGCGUAGAGUCCAGGCCCCUGCCAUGGCUCUGCAACUUGCCACAACACAGUUGGAGGGUUCCAUUGUUCAUGCCCUUUUGUCACCAGUUUUGCUAAGGAAACAAACUCCUGCGCCAAUCAGUUUAUAAGUCAGGAGUUGAGCAGGGCACAAUCUGUGGCAGGACCGCAUUCUCCUACUCCUUUGUCUCAAAGCAAAAGAAGCUCGCUGCCUUUGCCUGGAGAGAGCAGAAGUUUCUUUUAUCUAAUCCAAGAUGAUCUACUCAUGAUUAAAACAGCGAGGAAAUCAG